rnacentral:misc_RNA from 1 species
GAUGAAGAAGUAGCGAAAUGCGAUACGUAAUGUGAAUUGCAAAUUCAGUGAAUCAUCGAGUCUUUGAACGCACAUUGCGCCCCCUGGUAUUCCGGGGGGCAUGCCUGUCCGAGCGUCAUUGCUGCCCUCAAGCACGGCUUGUGUGUUGGGCCCCGUCCUCCGAUCCCGGGGGACGGGCCCGAAAGGCAGCGGCGGCACCGCGUCCGGUCCUCGAGCGUAUGGGGCUUUGUCACCCGCUCUGUAGGCCCGGCCGGCGCUUGCCGAUCAACCCAAAUUUUUAUCCAGGUUGACCUCGGAUCAGGUAGGGAUACCCGCUGAACUUAAGCAUAUCAAUAAGCGGAGGA